UUUAUUGAGGGCCUACUAUGU
rnacentral:piRNA from 2 species